rnacentral:rRNA from 1 species
UACGUAGGGUGCGAGCGUUGUCCCGGAAUUACUGGGCGGUAAAGAGCUCGUAGGUGGUUUGUCGCGUUGUUCGUGAAAUCUCACGGCUUAACUGUGAGCGUGCGGGCGAUAACGGGCAGACUGGAGUACUGCAGGGGAGACUGGAAUUCCUGGUGUAGCGGUGAAAUGCGCAGAUAUCAGGAGGAACACCGGUGGCGAAGGCGGGUCUCUGGGCCGAUACUGACGCUGAGGAGCGAAAGCGUGGGGAGCAAACAGG